UACGUAGGGUGCGAGCGUUGUCCGGAGUUAUUGGGCGUAAAGGGCUCGUAGGCGGUUUGUCGCGUCGGGAGUGAAAUCCACUGGCUUAACUGGUGGCUUGCUUUCGAUACGGGCAGACUGGAGGUAUGCAGGGGAGAACGGAAUUCCUGGUGUAGCGGUGAAAUGCGCAGAUAUCAGGAGGAACACCGGUGGCGAAGGCGGUUCUCUGGGCCUGACCUGACGCUGAGGAGCGAAAGCGUGGGGAGCGAACAGG
rnacentral:rRNA from 1 species